UACGUAGGGGGCAAGCGUUGUCCGGAAUCAUUGGGCGUAAAGCGCGCGUAGGCGGCCAGAUAAGUCCGUUGUGAAAACUCGAGGCUCAACCUCGAGAUGUCGAUGGAAACCGUCUGGCUAGAGUCCGGAAGAGGAGUGUGGAAUUCCUGGUGUAGCGGUGAAAUGCGCAGAUAUCAGGAAGAACACCUAUGGCGAAGGCAGCACUCUGGGACGGUACUGACGCUGAGACGCGAAAGCGUGGGGAGCGAACAGG
rnacentral:rRNA from 1 species